rnacentral:misc_RNA from 1 species
GAGUUCGCCCCAUCGUGUUGAACCUGAAGGACAGAGAGCAAACUGUCAUAUAGAUGGUAAACUAGACAUGUUCAUUAUCUUGUCAUGGUAAAUUAGAAAUCUCAAGUUAAUCCCUUACCCACCAUUCAGGUAAGGGUCUUCAAGGUUGAAUAAAGAAUUUAGUUUUUCAUUAUUAGACCAGCACAAUUUCUGGCAAUAGCAGCAAAGUAAUAUUUUUUCUAUACAUUCUCCGGUUCACCACAAUGCUUCAUUUUGGAACAGAAAUAGUUAUUCCAUGGCAUGGAAACGGAAUUUUUUUUUUUUUUU